AGUGAACGCUGGCGGUAGGCCUAACACAUGCAAGUCGAACGGCAGCACAGUAAGAGCUUGCUCUUACGGGUGGCGAGUGGCGGACGGGUGAGGAAUACAUCGGAAUCUACUUUUUCGUGGGGGAUAAUGUAGGGAAACUUACGCUAAUACCGCAUACGACCUACGGGUGAAAGCAGGGGAUCUUCGGACCUUGCGCGAUUGAAUGAGCCGAUGUCGGAUUAGCUAGUUGGCGGGGUAAAGGCCCACCAAGGCGACGAUCCGUAGCUGGUCUGAGAGGAUGAUCAGCCACACUGGAACUGAGACACGGUCCAGACUCCUAAGGGAGGCGGCAGUGGGGAAUAUUGGACAAUGGGCGCAAGCCUGAUCCAGCCAUACCGCGUGGGUGAAGAAGGCCUUCGGGUUGUAAAGCCCUUUUGUUGGGAAAGAAAAGCAGCAGGUUAAUACCCCGCUGUUCUGACGGUACCCAAAGAAUAAGCACCGGCUAACUUCGUG
rnacentral:rRNA from 1 species